rnacentral:rRNA from 1 species
UGGGGAAUAUUGCACAAUGGGCGCAAGCCUGAUGCAGCAACGCCGCGUGAACGAUGAAGGUCUUCGGAUCGUAAAGUUCUGUUGCAGGGGAAGAUAAUGACGGUACCCUGUGAGGAAGCCCCGGCUAACUACGUGCCAGCAGCCGCGGUAAUACGUAGGGGGCUAGCGUUAUCCGGAUUUACUGGGCGUAAAGGGUGCGUUGGUGGUCUUUCAAGUCGGUGGUUAAAGGCUACGGCUCAACCGUGGUUAGCCCCCGAAACUGGAAGACUUGGGUGCAGGAGAGGAAAGUGGAAUUCCCAGUGUAGCGGUGAAAUGCGUAGAUAUUGGGAGGAACACCAGUAGCGAAGGCGGCUUUCUGGACGGCAACUGACACUGAGGCACGAAAGAGUGGGUAGCAAACAGG